rnacentral:tRNA from 1 species
GCGUUUGUAGCUUAAUUGGAAAGAGCAUUAGACUACGAAUCUAAAGGUUGAAAGUUCGAAGCUUUCCAAACGCA